GACGAACGCUGGCGGCGUGCUUAACACAUGCAAGUCGAACGGAAAGGCCCUGCUUUUGUGGGGUGCUCGAGUGGCGAACGGUUGAGUCACACGUGAGUAACCUGCCCAUGACUGUGGGAUAACUUCAGGUAACUGGGGCUAAUACCGGAUAGGAGCUCCUGCUGCAUGGUGGGGGUUGGAAAGUUUCGGCGGUUGGGGAUGGACUCGCGGCUUAUCAGCUUGUUGGUGGGGUAGUGGCUUACCAAGGCUUUGACGAGUAGCCGGCCUGAGCGGGUGACCGGCCACAGUGGGACUGAGAUACGGACCAGACUCAUACGGGAGGCAGCAGUGGGGAAUAUUGCACAAUGGGCGGAAGCCUGAUGCAGCAACGCCGCGUGCGGGAUGACGGCCUUCGGGUUGUAAACCGAUUUCGCCUGUGACGAAGCGUGAGUGACGGUAAUGGGUAAAGAAGGACCGGCUAACUACGUG
rnacentral:rRNA from 1 species